UACGUAGGGGGCAAGCGUUGUCCGGAAUUAUUGGGCGUAAAGAGCGCGUAGGCGGUCCGAUAAGUCGGCUGUGAAAGUCAGGGGCUCAACCCUUGGAAGCCGGCCGAUACUGUCGGACUAGAGUCCGGAAGAGGCGAGUGGAAUUCCCGGUGUAGCGGUGAAAUGCGCAGAUAUCGGGAAGGAACACCAAUGGCGAAGGCAGCUCGCUGGGACGGUACUGACGCUGAGGCGCGAAAGCGUGGGGAGCGAACAGGAUUGAGAU
rnacentral:rRNA from 1 species